rnacentral:rRNA from 1 species
UGUUCAGUGAGCACUUCAAAUACUGAAUAUCGCCUGCCCGGUGAAUUUUUAAACGGCCGCAGUACUCUGACUGUGCUAAGGUAGCGUAAUCAUUUGUCCAUUAAUUGUGGACCUGUAUGAAAGGCUUGACGGAGCACCUCUGUCUCUUUUAGACUAACUCGAAUUUAGCUUGAAGGUGAAGAGACCUUCAUUAUAUGGGAGGACAAGAAGACCCUGUCGAGCUUAAAAAUAAUCUCACUAUAGCUAUUAUUUACUAAGAACAUAGGAGGAGAAUAAUUUUGGUUGGGGCAACCCUGGAGCAAUUAAAGCCUCCUGAAAUGUAGUCUAAUUUGACGGACUUAAAUCCAGUUUUUAGAAGAAUAAAUCUAUGACUGACUUCGGCUAAAGCUACCGCAGGGAUAACAGCGUAAUUUCUUUUAAGAGACCUCAUUGAAAAAGAAGCUUGCGACCUCGAUGUUGGACUAGGGGCCCCAUUAAACGGAGAAGUUUACUUGGUUGGUCUGUUCGACCAUUAAAACCCU